rnacentral:misc_RNA from 1 species
AACGAGGCCGACCUGCGGCUGAGUUACCUGCGGAGGGAUCAUUACAAGUGACCCCGGUCUAACCACCGGGAUGUUCAUAACCCUUUGUUGUCCGACUCUGUUGCCUCCGGGGCGACCCUGCCUUCGGGCGGGGGCUCCGGGUGGAUACUUCAAACUCUUGCGUAACUUUGCAGUCUGAGUAAACUUAAUUAAUAAAUUAAAACUUUUAACAAUGGAUCU